AUUGAACGCUGGCGGCAUGCCUUACACAUGCAAGUCGAACGGCAGCACGGAGCUUGCUCUGGUGGCGAGUGGCGAACGGGUGAGUAAUAUAUCGGAACGUACCCUGGAGUGGGGGAUAACGUAGCGAAAGUUACGCUAAUACCGCAUACGAUCUAAGGAUGAAAGUGGGGGAUCGCAAGACCUCAUGCUCGUGGAGCGGCCGAUAUCUGAUUAGCUAGUUGGUAGGGUAAAAGCCUACCAAGGCAUCGAUCAGUAGCUGGUCUGAGAGGACGACCAGCCACACUGGAACUGAGACACGGUCCAGACUCCUACGGGAGGCAGCAGUGGGGAAUUUUGGACAAUGGGCGCAAGCCUGAUCCAGCAAUGCCGCGUGAGUGAAGAAGGCCUUCGGGUUGUAAAGCUCUUUUGUCAGGGAAGAAACGGUGAGAGCUAAUAUCUUUUGCUAAUGACGGUACCUGAAGAAUAAGCACCGGCUAACUACGUGCCAGCAGCCGCGGUAAUACGUAGGGUGCAAGCGUUAAUCGGAAUUACUGGGCGUAAAGCGUGCGCAGGCGGUUUUGUAGUCUGAUGUGAAAUCCCCGGGCUCAACCUGGGAAUUGCAUUGGAGACUGCAAGGCUAGAAUCUGGCAGAGGGGGGUAGAAUUCCACGUGUAGCAGUGAAAUGCGUAGAUAUGUGGAGGAACACCGAUGGCGAAGGCAGCCCCCUGGGUCAAGAUUGACGCUCAUGCACGAAAGCGUGGGGAGCAAACAGGAUUAGAUACCCUGGUAGUCCACGCCCUAAACGAUGUCUACUAGUUGUCGGGUCUUAAUUGACUUGGUAACGCAGCUAACGCGUGAAGUAGACCGCCUGGGGAGUACGGUCGCAAGAUUAAAACUCAAAGGAAUUGACGGGGACCCGCACAAGCGGUGGAUGAUGUGGAUUGAUUCGAUGCAACGCGAAAAACCUUACCUACCCUUGACAUGGCUGGAAUCCUUGAGAGAUCAGGGAGUGCUCGAAAGAGAACCAGUACACAGGUGCUGCAUGGCUGUCGUCAGCUCGUGUCGUGAGAUGUUGGGUUAAGUCCCGCAACGAGCGCAACCCUUGUCAUUAGUUGCUACGAAAGGGCACUCUAACGAGGCUGCCGGUGACAAACCGGAGGAAGGUGGGGAUGACGUCAAGUCCUCAUGGCCCUUAUGGGUAGGGCUUCACACGUCAUACAAUGGUACAUACAGAGCGCCGCCAACCCGCGAGGGGGAGCUAAUCGCAGAAAGUGUAUCGUAGUCCGGAUUGUAGUCUGCAACUCGACUGCAUGAAGUUGGAAUCGCUAGUAAUCGCGGAUCAGCAUGUCGCGGUGAAUACGUUCCCGGGUCU
rnacentral:rRNA from 1 species